rnacentral:lncRNA from 1 species
GUUCAGCCUUCCUCACAUUUGUUUUUUGCUGUUGAUCCAAAAGAAGGCAAAAAAACCCAGUUUGAAGCACAAUUUUGCAACAAGCUAGGAAAAAAAUUCCUUCUUGACCCUAGAAUGGCAGUCAGAUUUAUCCUUGGAUCAAGCAGUUAUUACCCUACAUUGAAAGAUUAUAUCCUUGAAUAUUCUGUUCUUGCAAGUAUGCAUCUAGUAGCCGCUUGAACAUCUGUAUGGACUCUGAUAAAACCACUUCCUCAGGCAGAGAAUUCCACAUCCUGAUUGUUCUUACAGUAAAAAAACCUUUCCUUUGCCUUAGGCGAAAUCUUCUUUCUUCCAGUCUAAACGCAUGACCUCGUGUCCUAUGUAAAGUCCGGUUUGUGAAUAGAUUUCCACACAAUGGUUUGUAUUGGCCCCGAAUAUAUUUGUAUAAUGUUAUCAUAUUCCCUCUCAGGCGACGUUUUUCUAAACUAAAUAGGUUUAAAUUUGUUAACCUUUCUUCAUAGCCGAUAUGUUCCAUUCCUUUUAUUAAUUUUGUAGCCCGCUUCUGCACUUUUUCUAGUGCCAUAAUAUCC